GACGAACGCUGGCGGCGGGCUUAACACAUGCAAGUCGAACGGAAAGGCCCUGCUUUUGUGGGGUGCUCGAGUGGCGAACGGGUGAGUAACACGUGAGUAACCUGCCCUUGACUUUGGGAUAACUUCAGGAAACUGGGGCUAAUACCGGAUAGGAGCUGCUGCAGCAUGGUGGGGGUUGGAAAGUUUAGGCUGGUGGGGAUGGAUGCGCGGCUUAUGAGCUUGUUGGUGGGGGAGUGGCUUACCAAGGGUUUGACGGGUAGCCGGCCUGAGAGGGUGACCGGCCACAUUGGGCCUGCGAUACGGCCCAGAGUCCAACGGGGGGCAGUAGUGGCAAAUAUUGUACAAUGGGCGGAAGCCUGAGGCAGAAACGCCGCGUGCGGGAUGACGGCCUUCUGGUUGUAAACCGCUUUCGCCUGUGACGAAGCGUGAGUGACGGUAAUGGGUAAAGAAGCACCGGCUAACUACGUG
rnacentral:rRNA from 1 species